GGGCAUCGGGAGGGAAGCUUGCUUUCCUUGCCGGCGACCGGCGCACGGGUGAGUAACACGUAUGCAACCUGCCCUCUUCAGGGGGACAACCUUCCGAAAGGGAGGCUAAUCCCGCGUAUAUCGGUUUCGGGCAUCCGUUAUCGAGGAAAGAUUCAUCGGAAGAGGAUGGGCAUGCGGCGCAUUAGCUAGACGGCGGGGUAACGGCCCACCGUGGCGACGAUGCGUAGGGGUUCUGAGAGGAAGGUCCCCCACACUGGUACUGAGACACGGACCAGACUCCUACGGGAGGCAGCAGUGAGGAAUAUUGGUCAAUGGGAGAGAUCCUGAACCAGCCAAGCCGCGUGAGGGAAGACGGCCCUAUGGGUUGUAAACCUCUUUUGUCGGAGAACAAAACCCGGGACGAGUCCCGGACUGCGUGUAUCCGAAGAAAAAGCAUCGGCUAACUCCGUGCCAGCAGCCGCGGUAAUACGGAGGAUGCGAGCGUUAUCCGGAUUUAUUGGGUUUAAAGGGUGCGUAGGCGGUCUGUUAAGUCAGCGGUAAAAUUGCGGGGCUCAACCCCGUCGAGCCGUUGAAACUGGCAGACUUGAGUUGGCGAGAAGUACGCGGAAUGCGCGGUGUAGCGGUGAAAUGCAUA
rnacentral:rRNA from 1 species